rnacentral:lncRNA from 1 species
UAUAGUGUUAGGCUACUAUGCUAUCGGAAGCACGGAGCCUUCCGUACUUCCAGCUCAUUUUCAAUGUUGCGACUUUCGAAUCGUCAAUCGACUCCGUUAAAUUUGAUCUAGAGUAUUUGAAAUACCUAGAAAAUAAAUUUUAUGAUUUUUUCAUAUCAUUUGCCUAGUGAUCGAAGGGGCUCAAAAUCAAUAAUUUUAAUGGUCGCAGUGAGCCGUUUGCAAGUUUAAUGGUGUAGAAAUAUCCAAAUCAUGUGAAAUUUUGAUAGAAAAUUCUUUAUGCUAUAUAAAACAAGAUUAAUAUCUUUGAUAUAAAAUUUUAACGUCAUAUUAUCACGUUUUGUAAGAUUUUUAUUUUCAGCCGUUGAUUUUGAACCCCUUCGUCCACUAGGCAAAUAAUAUCAAAAAAUUGCAUAAUUUAUAUAUAUAUAUAUAGAGUCCGGCUACUACACUUUUAUGAGUAUUGGCUCUCAUAUACUCAUAAGUUUUCGACCCUUAAAUUUAUUCCAUUAAUUAUUUCCACCCGUUAGAUCAUACUAUUCAACAAACUACCCACUCAACCCUAUGAGACCACUAUCAUUCUAAGUGGGGACCACCAUCAUCCUAACCACACAUCCCAUCAAUCAACGGUUAAAAAUUUAUGAGUACAAGGGGGUCUAUACUCAUAAGAGUAUAGUAGCACCAGCCUAUAUAUAUAUAUAUAUAUAUGUAUGUACGUAC